UUAAGACAGCGCGAUGGUUGAUCAUCAAAUAUUCUGGAUGUUGAUAGCCGACCCGGGAUUGAUCUGUGGAAAUUAACUGAUAUCUGUACCAGCAUGUAAAACGAAGAACGUCCUGGGAAACGCUGAGGCAGAGGAAAUAGAAAGGGACACCGGGAUUAAGAUUUUAUUUAUUUAUGCUCGGAUUGUAGAACAAAAAAAGAAUGCGCUGAACAUUUGAAGAGCAAUGUUUGCAACCAUUGGAGCAAAGGAAGAGGCCAGCUGAAGCAGAGAAUCCCUAAAAGAUAACUUGAAGUACUGGGGAGGGAUCGAGGCUGAACCUCCAAGAUUAAGGUAGAACUCUUAUGUUACAGCAUCCGGCCUGAAUUGUCUUCAACGUUUAAAAUUAGAACAUUUGUUUGAACAAACAACACUAGUGACGGAUGAUUUAUUUUUAUUUCACUACAUAAAUGAUGAAGGUGUAUACCAAUCUUCAUUAUUAUGGACUUGAACCAACUCUGACUCAAGGAAGAUUUGGAUGAAGAGCAGGGAAGAUGUGUGAAAACUAUGAGGGUUUCUUCUGUGCUCCUUCGGAGGCUUGACCUUUUUGUUUAAAUGUGAUCGAUCACAAAGUACAGAGUCAUGUAAUUCGAUCAAAGUAAAUGUGAUCCCGUGUAAAGUGGAUUUAUGUGAUGUCCAAUUGGUGAAAUGUUGAAGAAUUUGAUGGGCGAUUGGCUUGUUUGAUACGAAUUUUACAUUUGCAGUUGUAAGAACUUCAACACUCAAAUUUCUAUGCGGGGAAAAGACUCCACUAGAGAUUGGUAAUCAUGUCCAUUGGAUUAAGACCAUGUCGAUUGCGUUGUUUUCCUUUUCCUUUGGCUGGACUUUGUUCAACCUUUUUGGUGGCCAGAUGGUGGGUGCUCCUUUCACGUGGCAGAACAAUUGACCAUGCCGCAGGAGAACUUGAAUAGCAGCUCGCAUGAUGAAAUUCAUUGAGCUGCCAUUAAAGAACUCAUGUCUGUUACUUUACAUGCUUUCCUUAAUUUAAUUUUCUUUAAAAUUGAUUCUCAGUCAUGUAGAAUUUUCCACAUUAA